UGGGGAAUAUUGGGCAAUGGGCGAAAGCCUGACCCAGCGACGCCGCGUGGGUGAUGAAGGCCUUCGGGUUGUAAAGCCCUGUCAUGCGGAAAGAACGACCCUGUGACGCAUAAUCACAGGGAGUGACGGUACCGCAGGAGGAAGCACCGGCUAACUCCGUGCCAGCAGCCGCGGUAAUACGGAGGGUGCAAGCGUUGUUCGGAAUUAUUGGGCGUAAAGGGCGCGUAGGCGGCAGUGUAAGUCAGAUGUGAAAUACUCUGGCUCAACCAGAGAACAGCAUCUGAAACUGCACAGCUAGAGUACAGAAGAGGGAAACGGAAUUCCCGGUGUAGAGGUGAAAUUCGUAGAUAUCGGGAGGAACACCAGUGGCGAAGGCGGUUUCCUGGUCUGAUACUGACGCUGAGGCGCGAAAGCGUGGGGAGCAAACAGG
rnacentral:rRNA from 1 species